CAGUCGCCGCGGUAAUACAGAGGGUGCGAGCGUUAAUUGGAUUUACUGGGCGUAAAGCGUGCGUAGGCGGCUUCUUAAGUCGGAUGUGAAAUCCCUGAGCUUAACUUAGGAAUUGCAUUCGAUACUGGGAAGCUAGAGUAUGGGAGAGGAUGGUAGAAUUCCAGGUGUAGCGGUGAAAUGCGUAGAGAUCUGGAGGAAUACCGAUGGCGAAGGCAGCCAUCUGGCCUAAUACUGACGCUGAGGUACGAAAGCAUGGGGAGCAAACAGGAUUAGAUACCCGUGUAGUCCCUGUCUCUUAUAC
rnacentral:rRNA from 1 species